UUUUUUUUUUUUUUUAACCAGAGUUGCCAAAACCUUCCUUUCUUCUGAGGCAGGAUGAUUAUUUUAAUAAUAAUAAUAACAAUAAUUUAAAAAAAAAAAGUCAAAUGAAGUGAACUCAGCCCGACCAGGUAAAUCCUCUCUUGCUUCCUCUACUACUCUCAAGGAAAAAAAAAAAUCUCAGAGAGGUAAAAAACUCUUCUCUCAGCCAAGACACUGAAGGCAAAUAUUAAAAAAAAAAAAAAAAAAAAAAAAAAAAGUUUGAAGUAGCUCUCUUAAAAAGGACCCAAUCAGCACUUAUUGCCAAAGGGAGAAUUCUGAUGCUUUGGCUUGUUCUGUCAAUCAGGAGCGCGAAGUCAGGAAUGAGCUAAUUGCAAGGAGAUAGUGUUUUAAUACUCAUUAGGGGGCACGUUGGCCCACAAGCCAAGGGAUAAAAUGUAGUUUUAAAAAGGGGAAGGAAGAUUUAGGGGGUUUAAAUAGACAGGGGGGACCCCUGUGGAUUUGGGUAGCUAUAACAACCUGCCCGGAUUUCACUCCCUGGGUCGAAGCUACUAAAAUGCAAAAAAAAAAAAAAAAAAAAAAAAAAAGUGUGAAGUUUUUUUUUUUCUUUAAAUUAUUAUUUUCUCAGUCUGCUCCUUCUUGCCAUUCUGCUGUCUUCUCAAAUCCCCUUUUCCUCACGGUGAUGGUCGGGAUGCAUUUGAAGUAACUUUCUAGAAACUUUUGGUUGGUUCCUUUUUUUCUUUUUUUUUUUUUCCUCCUUUUUUCCUUAAAAAGAGGGCUUACACCCAGACACGCACGCACGCACACCGCCACGCACCCCCUGCAGCCAUGCAGCCCCCGUCCCCACCAGUCCAACCAGCCAGAGAUCCAAGGGCUCCAGUGAAGACAUCUGCUAAGAAAUCAACUUCUUCCAUGCAAAUCUCACCAAGGCUCAUCCAGAUCAUCCCCAUUUGCGGGAGUCCCAGCCCGGACCUUGCAAACGCGCUGCUGCAAACGACUUCAUCCACCAGAUCCACCCCACGGGGCACUACUGGAGGAGCUCAGGUGGGAGCAUGAGGACACCGAACGUGACCCCAGAGCCGGUCCCUGCCUCCCAAAGUCUCCUCGGUGAAAGGCCUCUAGAUGGGGCUUUAAUGCAACGUUGCUGCCGGCUGCCCGCAGAGCCCAGGAGCCGGUCACCUCCCAGCACCCCACGAAGACGCUGGGAUGGAGCUGUGUAACCAUCGAAAUAAAGGGACUGAAAUACUGCA
rnacentral:lncRNA from 1 species